rnacentral:rRNA from 1 species
UACAGAGGGUGCAAGCGUUAAUCGGAUUUACUGGGCGUAAAGCGUGUGUAGGUGGUUUGACAAGUUGGUUGUGAAAUCCCCGGGCUCAACCUGGGAACUGCUUCCAAGACUGUCAGACUAGAGUACGGUAGAGGGCGGUGGAAUUUCCGGUGUAGCGGUGAAAUGCGUAGAUAUCGGAAGGAACACCAAUGGCGAAGGCAGCCGCCUGGGCCUGUACUGACACUGAGACACGAAAGCAUGGGGAGCAAACAGG